ACCUGGGUGGCUCAGUGGUUGAGCAUCUGCCUUUGGCUCAGGCCAUGGUCCUGGGGUCCUAGGAUCGAGUCCUGCCUCAGGCU
rfam:Canis lupus familiaris chromosome X, whole genome shotgun sequence.